CGUAUCACCCAAGACAACUUUACGGAGUUGACGAUUGACGGAGCGAAGCGACGUCAAAGCGUUCAUUAAAGUCGAGUUGGCUUAGGGAUACGUUCGUUGGGUAGGGGAGCGUUCUGUAAGCCUGUGAAGGUGUGUCGUGAGGCAUGCUGGAGGUAUCAGAAGUGCGAAUGCUGACAUAAGUAACGAUAAAGCGGGUGAAAAGCCCGCUCGCCGGAAGACCAAGGGUUCCUGUCCAACGUUAAUCGGGGCAGGGUGAGUCGACCCCUAAGGCGAGGCCGAAAGGCGUAGUCGAUGGGAAACGGGUUAAUAUUCCCGUACUUGGUGUUACUGCGAAGGGGGGACGGAGAAGGCUAUGUUGGCCGGGCGACGGUUGUCCCGGUUUAAGCGUGUAGGUGUGUGUUCCAGGUAAAUCCGGUUCACUUUAACACUGAGGCGUGACGACGAGGCACUACGGUGCUGAAGCAACAAAUGCCCUGCUUCCAGGAAAAGCCUCUAAGCAUCAGGUAACACGAAAUCGUACCCCAAACCGACACAGGUGGUCAGGUAGAGAAUACCAAGGCGCUUGAGAGAACUCGGGUGAAGGAACUAGGCAAAAUGGUGCCGUAACUUCGGGAGAAGGCACGCUGACACGUAGGUGAAGU
rnacentral:rRNA from 1 species